GAGAGAGAGAGAGAGAGAGGGUGAUAGGUCCAUUCCAAUAGGCAAAGAUUAAAAAACAUUUCAAUACAAGUUGUAUAAAAUAAAAUAGAGUACCACCCAGAGUUCAAAUUUAUGAAAUAUUCUUUACAGAGACACCUCCGAUUCUUAGGCCCAUGAUACAUCUAUAUAUUUGUUAUUGAUGAGCCUAGAUAAGGCCUGGCAUAUGAUCAUUCAUUUAGAGCACCAUAUGGUCUACUGCACUCUACUGCUUACAUCCACAAAAUAUAAUCAUAUUGCUAUGCGCAUAAUAAUAUGAUGCAGAUGUACAGACUGUAGCAUCCAUAAAAUAUUUUUUAAAACUGACAAUCUGUUGGAUAAGAUGAUACAGGUUCUAGUUCAUCCAAUCUACGGAACAGUGCAUGAAACUAACAUUCAAGUGGCUGAACCAGCCACAAACAUGGUACACCCUGAAUGUAGUUCUCGGGGAGAUUUAGCUUGAAACAGAAUGUGACAAGGCUGGCCUUUUGAAUAAUAGGUACUACUCAUUUUUUCCAGCUGAGUGGAUUGGAGAAAUGUGAAAUAAAGUGUCUUCCUCAAGGACACCUUGCAUCACCAGGAACUGAAGUCAUGACCUUACGAUUGUGAGCCAAGUACCUUGACUACUAAGCCAUGCACCUCUGCUUAGAAUAUAUAUCAGGAUUAAGUAACAAGAGAAAACAAGAGUGAUUAAUCUUGUUAUUUCCUCCUUUACACAAGUUUCACUGAUACAUAAUUAGUGAGCACCUGUGAUAAGUUUUAUUAUAAUUUCUUGACAGCAGCUGACAACUUGGGUUCACUUAGAAUCUUUUAUCUGGUAAAUAUUCUAAGGUUUAUUUAUGUCUUUUUAUUCCUUUCUUGAUUCAGCCAGUUUAUUUUGGCCAUUCUAAAGUAGGGAGGCACUUACUUGGUAUAUUUUGUUUCAUAUUUUACUAAUUUUUAUCAAUACAUUUGUAAUUAUUCUUUUAGUUUUGUGUAUGUAUGUGUGUCUAUUAGUGGAUGUAAAGGUUCAUGUGUGUGUGUGUGCUGUUAUUCCUGCUGUUGUCACAACGGUUAUAAUAGUCAAUUCAGAAGUUGUUUUUGAGGUUGUGGUGCUGUUGUUGUUGUUGUUUUUUGCUAUUGCUUUUGUUACUGGGUUGUCACAUGAGUAAACCUUACUCAAGCAGGUUGCACCUUGGCAUAGAGAAGCCCAACCAAAUUACGAAACUAUGUAUGUCUUGGGUUCUUGUUGCCACACUUCAGCCUAGUCUAAUCUGGAACCACCAAUGCUGCAUAUUAAUGGGUAGUAGUGGAUUGACACAAACAGCAGAGAGAUAACAGGCAAAAACAAAACAAAAAUCCUCUACAUAUUGUACCCUUACAUUCUGAGUUCAAAUCUUGCCAAAGUCAACUUUGCCUUUAAUCUGAAACUACAAGCCAAAAAAAUAAGCACAAUUUGAGUACUUGGGCUGAUAUAAUUGACUGCACCCAUCAUCCCUUAUAGGUUGAAACCUUGUGCCUAUCUUAGAAAUCAAUACCACACAUUCUGUUAUUCAGCAGCUGGUUUAAUUGUCAAAAUUGUGAGCUGUGCAGUUUGGCACUCAAGACACAUAAUUUAUGUCUAAAUGGAAAGCCAAUAUCUAAAUGUUUCAGUCACAGAUCAGGUAUCAAAGCCAUCCAUUUCAUUAUGGAAGAUCACUGUUUAAAUUAUUAGAUAUUUUUUCCACUCACAGAAAUAUAAUAUGACUCCAUUUUUGGUUCUUACCAUAUUACUUUUCACCAAUGCAAACCAUCACUUUGGCUUUGUAAAUUCUAGUAAUUUUAUUCUCAUAUUUAUGUGUAUUUAUGUGUGAUAUAUAUAUAUAUAUAUAUAUAUAGAUAUUGAUAUAUAUAUAUAUAUAUAUAUAUAUAUAUAUAUAUUGAUAUACUAAUGAAUGUUAUGAAUAUGUAUGCAGCAAUUUGAAAAGUUAUUAAUCAAAAUGCAAAAAUCAAGUGAUGUAAGGACAAAAACAAAAAAAGAGAGAGAGAAUUAAAGAAUGAUACACAGAGAUUGCCAUAGACAGACAGAUAGACAGACAGACAGAUAGAUAGAUAGAUAGAUAGAUAGAGAGUCAGAGAGUGCGAGAGUGAGAGUAGGAGGAAAUGUGAUGAUGAGGCAGAUGACGGAAGUAAAUAAAUAAAGAAAAGUGGUUCGAAUUGGAGGUGGAGGAAGAGGAUAAGAAACAUUUGAAUGAACAAAAGGAGAAAGGCUGAAGAGUAUUUACGGGAGAAUCAAUGGGUUGGGGGGUGAAAAAAUGGAGGGUAGAAAGAAAUGAUGGAGACAGUGGUAGAACGAUGAUGCAAGUGAAAGAAGUUGAAGGAUGAGGUGGAAAAUAAGGAAAGACCCUUCAUUUUUUUAUGCUGAGACAUUCCAAUUGAAUUGACUACAUGUUAUUUUAUUUUUUCAAUGUUUUUUUUUGGUUAUGUAUUUAUUUUGAAUUUUUAUUAUUAUUACUAUUAUCAUUAUUACUAUUAUUAUUAUUAUUAUUAUUAUCAUUGAUUCAGAUAUUAGAAUUUCCCUCACAACAGAGACAAAAACCUUAUUUGAAUAUUGUCUGAGAAGAAAAAAAAAAUGAACAAGUUAAAAAAGAAAAAAAUAAUAAAUAAAUAAAUAAAUACUGAAGUGGGCCAAAGAAAUAAACUAACUCAACCAAAAAAUA